ensembl:rRNA 5S_rRNA 5S ribosomal RNA
GCUUACGGCAAUAACAGCCCAAGAACGCCCGGUCUUGUCUAAUCUCGGAAGCUAAGAUGGCCUGAGCCUGGUUAGUACUUGGAUGGGAGACCUCCUGGGAAUACCAGGUGCUUUAACUG